AGAUGCUUUACACAUGCAAGUCGUACGGGAGUUUUUAACUCUAGUGGCGGACGGGUGAGUAACACGUAAGAAUUUGCCUUUAGGAGGGGGAUAACAUCGUCAGAAAUGAUUCGAGAAAUUGAUGCUAAUACCCCAUAUGCUUUCGAGUGAAAUGGAGUUUUCCGCCUAAAGAGAAGCUUGCGGCUGAUUAGCUUGUUGGUGAGGUAAUGGCUUACCAAGGCGACGAUCAGUAUCUGGUUUGAGAGGAUGAUCAGACACACUGGAACUGAGACACGGUCCAGACUCCUACGGGAGGCAGCAGUGGGGAAUUUUCCGCAAUGGGCGAAAGCCUGACGGAGCAAUCUCGCGUGAGGGAUGACUGCCUAUGGGUUGUAAACCUCUUUUUUCAGGGAGGAAUAAAUGACGUUACCUGAAGAAUAAGCAUCGGC
rnacentral:rRNA from 1 species